AGGAGUUUAACGGUAAUUUUUUUGCGCCAAAUUUCAGUUUUCAAUCUUUUUGCAAGUUCUCAGUUUCUCCCACAUUUUUCGUUUCUACACGUUCUUCCAAAUUUUCAACCCACCCCGUAUCGAAUCAGAAUCAGAACCAACUUUCCCAACCCUAAAUCAAACUCACAAUUACUGAAUUACGCCCGCUCACUCUGUAUAUCAGAUAUUCGUAUCCUCAUCCUCCUGAAACGUCACUACGAUGGAGCUUUAGAACCUCAACUCAAUUUUGAAAUCCUUCGUUAUUUUGUGGACAAGCUUAUGGUCCUUAGAAUGGAUACUUGCAGAUCUCACGUAGAGCACGGUGCCAGGGCUGAAGCGGUGGGGCUUCUUCACUCUGCCGGUGGUUGAAGCAGAUUUCCUAAUUGUUUUAGUCACCAGUUGCUUGUGUGGCGUUGUCAAUAGUUUGUGGGCUAUUUGCUUUGUGUGAGAGGAAGACAACCCAUUCAUUUUUCACAGUUAAAACCCCCACUACUCCACCCGAUUUCCACAGCCAGGAUACUGAGUUGCCGUUCGCAUGCGACCAACGCCUUGCAGCGCCAUUUAACUUCUGCCGUCCACAGGAACGACCACCACUGGUCCCACCCAACCGUUCCACCGACCACCAUGGCCCUCUCUUGAAAACUUCGUAUUUCAUGUGCUUCGGAGGUACUUGAGUGAGUAUAUCCAUGGGUUGUCAUCAAAAGGCCUUGAGAAUCAGUGUUUGGAAAGAGAAUGGUAAAAAACUGCUUCAGCCUUGAGAGCUUGCUCCAGUUUCUUUACGGAAGAAGUAAUCACAGUCUCAUCAAAGAAAUUCACAAGAUUGGAUGACAACUACUGUUACUGAUCAUGGUGGAGAUGUUUGAAACAGACAGUGACUCCAUGGCUUGCAAGGUAAUGUAUGAGUAUGACAUAACCAGCCAAACUAUGAAGUUUGAGAUGCAAUAUAAUGUUGAAAUGUAAUAAACUUUAGUUUAUUGCUACAUUUAAUAUUCUGUUAUUUUUGACAAAUACGUUUUAAUUUGUUAUCAUGUAUAUGUAUUAAAUAAUUAUAUGGACAACUAUAUAUGUAUAUUAUAUAUAUAUAGGCCCGUAUAAAAAUUAUUGGAUUAUAUUAUGCAUCUUAUUAAUUAAUUAACUAGAAAAUUAAAAUUGUUGAUAAAUUUUACUUAUAUUAUAAAUUGUAGUAGUUAACUAUUUCAUCCACCGAUGUGUGUGCAUAUAUAUUAUAGGAAAAAAAUUAACAUAUAUUUUUUAAAGUUAAAAUAUUUAAAAUAGAUAUUGCUUCAAUAUGCCAUUUCAUAUUAAAUAAUAUUUAAACAUUUUAGUUAAAUUGAAAUUAAUUUUUUGUUGUCAAUUAAUCAACUCAUAAAUGAUACAAUUUUGCAUGUAGUUUAUUUUUUUUUAAAUAUAAAUAUAUGGCCCGUGCAUCGCACGGGAGGACGUACUAGUAUUAUAUAAAACAGCAGUUUAUUAACGGAUACUUUUUCCCGGCAAAAUUUAAAGUUAUGAUUUCUCACACACGUUCUCUUCUUCUUCCACACGUUCUCUCAAUCGCAAAUUCUUAAAGUUAUGGUUAUAGAAUUAAUCAACAAUUUUCUCUCUCCCUCUUCUACACUUCCGCGCACGUCCUCUCACAAUAUCUCUGAAGCAACUAUGCAAAUUCUUUUUGUUACAGUUAUAAUAAGCUUCUCUCUCCAUUCCCACACGUUCUCACAAUCUCUGCAGCGAUAUUUCUCAUAAAUUGGUGCAAUUUCAACGGAUAUAGUACUGCAAUUCUCCCAAUCGAUAAAAACACGUUUUCAAGUAGAAUGAUCGGAGGAACAGAUCUGAGAUUAAUUUUUUUCUCAUCGUUCUCUAUAUCCUCUCUACCCAGAAAAGUCUACUCUAUCUUCACUGUUAAUGCUAGAAAGACUGAACAAUUUGAGAGUAGUUUAAUAAUUUUUGUGUUGGAUGUAGCAAAAUCUCCUCAUUCUCGCCUUCAGAAUCUUGCUACCGCAAUGGGUUGUGUCCGGACAAAAACGGUGAAGAAGUCCUCCCCGCGAUGAUUGAGGGACACUACUCGAAGAUGUUAUUGAACUUCCAGACCAACAAAAAGAAGGAGCUGAUAGCUCUAAUGUGUUUUGCUUAUCGGCAUCAGUUUCAAUGUGUUUUGCAAGUUGCAGAAGGAGCUGAUAGCUCUAAUGGUAUGUUUGAUGUUAGUUAUUACUUGAUUUGUAUGUAUGUGUGUAUGAGAGUGAAAGAGAGGUUAGCUUUUAUUGGAUCAUUCAUUACAAGUAGAUGUGUUAUCCCUAAUUUGGCAAGGUAAUUUGUAGAGGUGUUAUGUUUAGAUUGAUUUUAGAAGUUAGGGAAGAAAGCCACGUAUUAAAUUUUACCAUUUCAUUGUUUAUUGAUUAAUUACUUAUUGAUCAAUUACUUAUUCCGCUUAUCUUGCAAGCAAAAUCUUUACUGA